UGAGAGACGAGCACUGAGAGCAGCACUGAAGAAGAAGCAGCUUUUCUCCAUGUUUCAAAGUGUUUAUUAGUUUUUAUGCUUACAGUCAACAACAAAUUAAGUGAAAAACAAGAGAAGCGGCAUAGUAUCAACUCUUAACACGUGAUAGUUACAAGCAAUCGGAUAUUUAGGAUUGGAUACAUUUGUUUUUUAUAUAUGCUUUUCUUAUAAUAAACUCUCUUAAACUUCUACGCCUCCAAACGUUGCUUUGUAAAGCGAAUGCGCGCGAUAUCAAACAGAGAAGACUGUUAGUGCAAUAAAGGCUCCGUGCAUCGAGUUCUCUAAAACAACACUCACUAAAACUGAAGUCUUUGGAAACUAAGUUCCUUAGCAGCUUUGAAAUAUGUGAUUUGCUAUACGUCACAAAAUCAACAGGUAGGAGAGGAAUUUACACGGGUACAAUUUAACUCUUGUGUGCUAACUUCAUAGCACUAAUCUAAAAGUGGAAAACUAAGGAAGGAAAAGUACUUGGACACAUCAGGAAUAAGCAAAAAGCAUAUGGCUAACAUGAUUGUAAGAAGAGCUAUUCCUAUUACUUCACACUCUCCAUCGUCUCCACUGUCUACAUGGUUAUUACUGUAUAUGUUCUGCACUGAAAGGAAGCAGUAAAGAACUUGCCCAGUAUUUGUGCCACUGGUUACACACACAGAGAAAAAGUGAAGCUGACGUCUCAGUGAGAGGCGAGGCUGGAAUCUUGCAUGCUCACGCUUACAUUUCAGUGUGCAGAAACAUGGCUGAGCUGCAGGAACUCACGGAGAAAACACAGCUCUCCAAUCAAGUGUGUGAACGUCUGUGCAGCUGCUCAGAUGACCUCUGCAGGGACACACACAAAAACAUUAUUUUCAAAGUUUCAGAGCAGCUUAAGAGAUAAGAACAUGUAUGAUCCAUGUUGAGACUUUCCAUUAGGGGGACAUGCAGGGAAAGGAGAGGCUGUCCACACACCAUGGAGCUUUAUUACUUUGAACACUGUCAGGUGUUGUGUGACGAAGACUUGGUAAGAUAACAUUUCGCAUUAAUAAUAACUUGGAAGAAAACGUACUGAUAUUUUGUGUCUUGUUUUGUCCCUAUUUUAGUCGUUUGGCAUCUAUUUUUGGUAAUUUAGCAAUUUCUCUCCUUAGACUUUGUGUCUCUUUGAGGUUAAAACGUACUCGUUCAUUUGACAAGAGUUGUUAACUACGGAAGAGCAUAAGGGUCACGUGUGAAUAUGUUGGUACGAUCUGACCAAUAGUGAACUUUUUGUAUUAGUUCUGCGAUUAAAGUCUUAUAAAAAUGAAAUCACAUGUUGCCCUAAUCCUCUAAUUAAUGAUGGUGUUGAAACAAAUGGACAACUGUUUGAAUCAAGUCGUUAGCGGACCGGUUGAGAUGCAAUGUGGAUGGAAUGAAUCUGCCGUGACGCUGUCAUUUACUCUCAAUAAACCCUUGUUCAAGUUGGACAUGUCCCUGGGGGUCUUCACUAAGUGUUAUGGAGUCAGAACCAAAAUACCCGGCAGACUGCAAGUGUCCUAGGAUCUUGGUACAUUGGAUUCACUGACAUUACAUGCUUAUAGCCUAACGUUAGCCUUUUACUUCAAAAAUCAUAAAGAUGUGGAGAUCAUCCUGCUGAACAGAACAUGUCAGUAUCAUAAACAUGCUUAUUUUAAGAAACAUUCCUAAAUUAAAUGGAAAAAUCUCAUUGCUUUUUGUAGAGGUAGCCCUUGCGACGCUUACUUCUGGGUCAGCCUACUAAAAUACGUCAUGCCUGCCCCACUCUACAGUGUUUCUGUCUCUUUAGUGGACAUAUUCCUCGCCUCUCUGCCUCCUCUCUCUGCAGGUGCUCCUGCUCCUCUCUCUCUCGUUGUUGCCUCGCCUCUCUCUCUCGUUGUUGCCUCGCCUCUCUCCUCCUCUCAGCCAGGAGACGAGAGGCCUGCCCGGCAUCUGUGGUCCCGGCUGAGGGUCGACACGUGACUUCAGGAGGCUGGGGAUCUGCAGGGAGAGGCUUUUGAGGAGGACCUGAAGAGAGAAUAAUAUCACCUUUUAUUCUCCUUCCAUUGGAAUGAAGAUAUAACGAAGUGAGUUUUUGUUUGUGUCUCUGAGCUGCAACCACAGCUUCUGUUCGAGCUGCCUGCAGACAUUCUGGGAACAAAAUACCUGGACAAAGUCACCAUCCUGAACUGAAUACCAAAGGACAUUUCCCUCUGAAAGACAUCCUGACUCCAUCUGCUGGUGAAUAAAUGACAUAGCAGCAUUUCCUGAUGUUGAUCAUUCACCCUGUGACGGAGGUGAGAGAAAACAAAAGUGGAUUUAGACAUUGUUGAACAGCGCUGAGACGCCAUCACAGGGUGUGAGAUUUCUGCUCGGAGACACGUUUGGAGUAUAUGUGGGGAGAAGUGGAGAGACUGUAAGUUGGU